rnacentral:rRNA from 1 species
CUUGGUCAUUUAGAGGAAGUAAAAGUCGUAACAAGGUUUCCGUAGGUGAACCUGCGGAAGGAUCAUUAUUGUAGGUGCCUUCGGGCCCGCUAACACAAUAACCCCUGUCUUUUUUUGUGCACCCUUUGUUUCCUCGGCAGCUUUGCCUGCCAACGAGGACCCCCCUAAAACCUUUUGCAAUCUUAGUAUAACAUUCUGAAAACAAACAAUAUUAAAACUUUCAACAAUGGAUCUCUUGGCUCUGGCAUCGAUGAAGAACGCAGCGAAAUGCGAUAAGUAGUGUGAAUUGCAGAAUUCAGUGAAUCAUCGAAUCUUUGAACGCACAUUGCGCCCUUUGGUAUUCCUUAGGGCAUGCCUGUUCGAGCGUCAUUUACAAAUUCAAGCUCAGCUUGGUGAUGGGUGUCUGUCCCGCCUUUGCGUGUGGACUCGCCUCAAAUGCAGUUGGCAGCUUGUUCCUCGGCUCUAAACGCAGCAGAUUUGCGUCGAGCGUCGUGCGGACGGGCUCUCCAGUAAGCAAAACCCCACAAAUUGACCUCGGAUCAGGUAGGGAUACCCGCUGAACUUAAGCAUAUCAAUAAGCGGAGGA